GCGCGCGUGGCGGAAUUGGUAGACGCGCAGGAUUUAGGUUCCUGUGUCUUGUACGUGUGGGUUCGAGUCCCAUCGCGCGCA
rfam:Bifidobacterium biavatii DSM 23969 Contig21, whole genome shotgun sequence.